AGAUGCACAGUGGGCAGGCACACACUAAAAUGAGAUGUAACCCCCGAUUAACAGAUGUAGCGCCGAUAAAUGUUUUAUCAGUAAUUGGUCUGGACCUCAUAGCUGCAUAGCAGAGACUACCUUGAUCGAAACCAGAUAGUUAGUUAGUUUUAUUUUGGAAACGCGACAGACAUUAAUCAGCGUCGUCUUCUUACUUUUAGUUUCACCAGAGCCCGUCUACGAAGAGCCUGGGCACUCCCUAUACGCCCCAUUGUACCGAUCUUGGUUGUAGUUCCAGUAAACAUCCACUGGGGGUGAUCGCGGGCGAGUCCAGAAUGAAUGGGAGUCAAUGGGGCUAGACGGCUAAAUAUGUCUCUUUCACCUGCUUGUCGUUGAAAUAUCGCAAAUUUUAUUGUAGAUUUCGCAAGUUCAAUAUAGAUUAUAGUUCAAAAGUCAAAUGAAUGAGCACUUAUGUCCUUUCGAUUUCUUACAGUUUGGGCCGUUGUUGGCCGUAUACGCUAGCAUUCUGCUAAUGAAUGCUGAUUGGUCAGGGACGGACUUGCGACUGAUUACGACCAGAGACCCCUCUUGACGGCACCUGAAGCUGAAGCGCAUCGGAAACAUUAUCUUAAGGAGGACUUUCCGUCAAAGUUAAUUUUUGCGUACUGUAUUUAUAUUUUCCUGCAGGCCCUUUUAUUUGUUAUAUAGUUAUGUAUGGUGAAAGUACAUGGGUAUAGAUGGAAUUUCUUCCAUUUCUCGUGUUCAAUGUUCAAUGUGUUAUAUACAUGGUACGGUAUGACCACCUUAAAUUAUACAGUCAAUGUCCCGCUCAAUAUCAUUUCAUCUGUCAUUGUCCAUUUUUUCGAAAAUAAAGAUAGUUUAGAAAAUGUGCAAUGAUAAACUGCUCCAACAGUGGAAAGGGAUUGUCCUUCUUUUCGUUUCCCAAGGAAAGAAAAAGGUAAUGUUCUUGCUUGCUCCUGUAUGAAUAGUCCUAGGCUACCUGAGGCUGCACCUGGUAGGGAAAGUUGCGCUGGAGCCCGGGUAAAAUCGCACAUGGCUUAUUCAAGUUGCGCGCUAGACAUUCUCUAAAGUCUCGAGACUCAAGCACUUCAAUUACCUUAACCGAUUGUCCCAUACAAAUCGUUUGUUAACGAUUCAACAACUUCAAAAUCUGCUAUUACUGUAGUUUUAUUUUUUGUAGGCCUUGGGCUAAUGACCUUGCACAGAGGGAAAACCAUCUACACCACUUGUCAUUGAUUUCUAUGCAUUCAGUGAUCUUUACAGAUGGGUUUGUUUUAAGCCAUUGAAUAUGAUUGCUCUGCCCUGCAACACAUUAUAAGCUACACAUGUUUGUUAAAUGAGAAGUAUGGUCUAGGUCAUGUUGAAACAGUAUCAGUUGUAUAACAGUAAUUAUACAAACAUACCAACAUUGCAACAGGCAAGUUUAUUCAAACAUCACACUAACAAGAACACAAUAAGAACAGUAACAUAGUAAAUAAUUUAAAAAAAAGAGAAAUGAUUUAACAACACUGAACAUACUGAACAGAGGCAGGGAAAAAAGGACAGAGGAACAACAAUAUAAUAAAAGAGGAAGAAGACUUGUCCGUUGUCACAGCAUCAAGGCCAACUGUAGAGAUCAAGAAAGGAAGAGGCAUGAGGAGGAGUACAACAGAACACUGCUCUCUAGGAAAUUGUUUACUGAUGUAAACUAAGUUGAUGCAGUCUUACAAUUAUGAUUCUAAUCAAGGUUUCUAUUUCAGGAGAAAGAAAUGGCUCAUAAACAUGAGGCGAAGUGACCUCAGACCUCAGACAGUUAAUGCAGGGGGGCUAUGUUGUCUGUGAACUGCAUUUUGAGGAAUGCUUCCUUAAAAAACACAAUGGAAAGGUGGCACUCACCAGAGAUGCCAUCCCCACACUGGUGGAUUGCGACAACCCGCCACCACUUGCCUCCCCACCUCUUAAAAGGCGGAAAAAAAAAAGAAGGUAACAUAACUGAGACCAAGACCAACAUACAAAUAAUUAAGACAGUCCCCUGAAAUAACAUUUACAUACAUUACAUUGAAUGAAAUAACUUUAACUGAUCCUUUGAUAUUGACUGAUAUAUUAAUCCUCAAAAGCUAAGCAGAGUCAAUCUGAGGAAGAAGACAGGUAUAUAGACACAGAGGGAGGGACAGAGAAAAGCACAGAGGAGACAGCAGAAAUUAUACCGGAAAGGACAGAGGAGACUCUAGAGACAACAGUUGAAAUGGAGGAAAGGACAGAGGAGAGCGCAGAAGGGACAGUAGAGUCAAAUGGAGGCACCAAAGAACAGGCUGAGGCUCAGGUGACAAUUCUGCACAGCAGUCUCCAAAAGAAGGACCAGGUGAUGUUCUGAGCUUCUUCAAUUUCAAA